UACCAGCUCUCCGAGUUGUAGGGAUGAUUAUUGGGCUUAAAGCGUCCGUAGCUGGCUUAGCAAGUCUCCUGUUAAAUUCAGCGACCUAAUCGUUGAGCCGCGGGAGAUGCUACUAGGCUAGGAGGCGGGAGAGGUCGACGGUACUUUCGGGGUAGGGGUGAAAUCCUAUAAUCCCGGGAGGACCACCAGUGGCGAAGGCUGUCGACUAGAACGCGCUCGACGGUGAGGGACGAAAGCUGGGGGGAGCGAACCGGAUUAGAUACCCGGGUAGUCCCAGCUGUAAACUAUGCGGGCUAGGUGUUGGGGUGGCUACGGGCCACUUCAGUGCCGCAGGAAAGCCAUUAAGCCCGCCGCCUGGGGAGUACGGCCGCAAGGCUGAAACUUAAGGAAUUGGCGGGGGAGCACCACAAGGCGUGAAGCUUGCGGUUC
rnacentral:rRNA from 1 species